AACGAACGCUGGCGGCAUGCCUAACACAUGCAAGUCGAACGAGACCUUCGGGUCUAGUGGCGCACGGGUGCGUAACGCGUGGGAACCUGCCCUUAGGUUCGGAAUAACUCCCCGAAAGGGGUGCUAAUACCGGAUAAUGUCUUCGGGCCAAAGAUUUAUCGCCUUUGGAUGGGCCCGCGUUGGAUUAGCUAGUUGGUAGGGUAAAAGCCUACCAAGGCGACGAUCCAUAGCUGGUCUGAGAGGAUGAUCAGCCACACUGGGACUGAGACACGGCCCAGACUCCUACGGGAGGCAGCAGUGGGGAAUAUUGGACAAUGGGCGAAAGCCUGAUCCAGCAAUGCCGCGUGAGUGAUGAAGGCCGUAGGGUUGUAAAGCUCUUUUACCCGGGAUGAUAAUGACAGUACCGGGAGAAUAAGCUCCGGCUAACUCCGU
rnacentral:rRNA from 1 species